rnacentral:rRNA from 1 species
GUCCAUGCCCUAAACGAUGGAUACUAGAUAUCGGAGGAGUUAAUCCCUUCGGUGUCGUAGCUAACGCGUUAAGUAUACCACCUGGGGAAUACGCUCGCAAGGGUGAAACUCAAAGAAAUUGACGGGGGCCCGCACAAGCGGUGGAGCAUGUGGUUCAAUUCGAUGAUACGCGAAGAACCUUACCUGGGUUUGACAUGGGGGCGCCGGAGGCAGAGAUGUCUCUUUUUCGCAAGAACGCCCCACACAGGUGCUGCAUGGCUGUCGU